CCUCCAGAGUUUUCUUUAGCUUUGAUUUAACUCACCUUAGUGCAGGUGGUGGGUGAACAGACUUAGUAAUAAUAUGUAAAUUUUUUACUCUAAUGCUCCAUUUCUGAUGACUUAUUAAUGUAUUGCAAACUACGUUGUUUUGUAGGGACUCUGAUAGUAAAAUACUGCCGGCUGCAGCCCUUGCGCCCGAGCACUCAAAGGGUGCCUCUUCAAUCGCAAUCACUGCUCUUAUGGAGGAGAAGGGUUACCAGGUGCCUGUACUUGGAACCCCGUCUUUGCUUGGACAGUCACUAUUGCAUGGACAGUUGAUCCCCACAACUGGUCCAGUAAGAAUAAAUACUGCUCGUCCAGGUGGUGGUCGACCAGGUUGGGAACAGUAAGUAUAUGUUUAAAAA